rnacentral:rRNA from 1 species
GACGAACGCUGGCGGCGUGCUUAACACAUGCAAGUCGAACGGAAAGGCCCUGCUUUUGUGGGGUGCUCGAGUGGCGAACGGGUGAGUAACACGUGAGUAACCUGCCCUUGACUUUGGGAUAACUUCAGGAAACUGGGGCUAAUACCGGAUAGGAGCUCCUGCUGCAUGGUGGGGGUUGGAAAGUUUCGGCGGUUGGGGAUGGACUCGCGGCUUAUCAGCUUGUUGGUGGGGUAGUGGCUUACCAAGGCUUUGACGGGUAGCCGGCCUGAGAGGGUGACCGGCCACAUUGGGACUGAGAUACGGCCCGGACUCCUACGGGAGGCAGCAGUGGGGAAUAUUGCACAAUGGGCGGAAGCCUGAUGCAGCGACGCCGCGUGCGGGAUGACGGCCUUCGGGUUGUAAACCGCUUUCGCCUGUGACGAAGCGUGAGUGACGGUAAUGGAUAAAGAAGCACCGGCUAACUACGUG